AAAAAAGGUAAGCUACUAAGAGCGAAUGGUGGAUGCCUUGACUGGUAAAGGCGAUGAAGGACGUACUAGACUGCGAUAAGCUACGGGGAGCUGUCAAGAAGCUUUGAUCCGUAGAUUUCCGAAUGGGGCAACCCAAUGUAUAGAGAUAUACAUUACCUAUAUAGGAGCGAACGAGGGGAAUUGAAACAUCUUAGUACCCUCAGGAAAAGAAAUCAAUAGAGAUUGCGUCAGUAGCGGCGAGCGAAAGCGCAAGAGGGCAAACCCAGUGCUUGCACUGGGGGUUGUAGGACUGCAAUGUGCAAGAGGUGAGUUUAGCAGAACAUUCUGGAAAGUAUAGCCAUAGAGGGUGAUAGUCCCGUAUGCGAAAAACAAACCUUAGCUAGCAGUAUCCUGAGUAGGGCGGGACACGAGAAAUCCUGUCUGAAGCUGGGUCGACCACGAUCCAACCCUAAAUACUAAUACCAGAUCGAUAGUGCACAAGUACCGUGAGGGAAAGGUGAAAAGAACUGAGGUGAUCAGAGUGAAAUAGAACCUGAAACCAUUUGCUUACAAUCAUUCAGAGCCCUAUGUAGCAAUACAGGGUGAUGGACUGCCUUUUGCAUAAUGAGCCUGCGAGUUGUGGUGUCUGGCAAGGUUAAGCAAACGCGAAGCCGUAGCGAAAGCGAGUCUGAAUAGGGCGCUUAGUCAGAUGCUGCAGACCCGAAACGAAGUGAUCUAUCCAUGAGCAAGUUGAAGCUAGUGUAAGAACUAGUGGAGGACUGAACCCAUAGGCGUUGAAAAGCCCCGGGAUGACUUGUGGAUAGGGGUGAAAGGCCAAUCAAACUUCGUGAUAGCUGGUUCUCUCCGAAAUAUAUUUAGGUAUAGCGUUGUGUCGUAAUAUAAGGGGGUAGAGCACUGAAUGGGCUAGGGCAUACACCAAUGUACCAAACCCUAUCAAACUCCGAAUACCUUAUAUGUAAUCACAGCAGUCAGGCGGCGAGUGAUAAAAUCCGUCGUCAAGAGGGAAACAACCCAGACUACCAGCUAAGGUCCCUAAAUCUUACUUAAGUGGAAAACGAUGUGAAGUUACUUAAACAACCAGGAGGUUGGCUUAGAAGCAGCCAUCCUUUAAAGAAAGCGUAAUAGCUCACUGGUCUAGUGAUUUUGCGCGGAAAAUAUAACGGGGCUAAAGUAAGUACCGAAGCUGUAGACUUGCGCACAACUUAGAUUAUUUAAGUUUAGAAUAUGAGAAACUAAGUUAUAUGUUUAGUUAUAUUUUUACUGAUUUUUAUAGAGUAAAGAUAGAAAUAAAACUUAGUAAAAUCAGUAAAAAUAUUCUUAGACUAAAGUUAAGUAGUUUAAGUUGUGUGCAAGUGGUAGGAGAGCGUUCUAUUUGCGUCGAAGGUAUACCGGUAAGGAGUGCUGGAGCGAAUAGAAGUGAGCAUGCAGGCAUGAGUAGCGAUAAUUAAUGUGAGAAUCAUUAACGCCGUAAACCCAAGGUUUCCUACGCGAUGCUCGUCAUCGUAGGGUUAGUCGGGUCCUAAGUCGAGUCCGAAAGGGGUAGACGAUGGCAAAUUGGUUAAUAUUCCAAUACCAACAUUAGUGUGCGAUGGAAGGACGCUUAGGGCUAAGGGGGCUAGCGGAUGGAAGUGCUAGUCUAAGGUCGUAGGAGGUUAUACAGGCAAAUCCGUAUAACAAUACUCCGAGAACUGAAAGGCUUUUUGAAGUCUUCGGAUGGAUAGAAGAACCCCUGAUGCCAUCGAGCCAAGAAAAGUUUCUAAGUUUAGCUAAUGUUGCCCGUACCGUAAACCGACACAGGUGGGUGGGAUGAGUAUUCUAAGGCGCGUGGAAGAACUCUCUUUAAGGAACUCUGCAAAAUAGCACCGUAUCU
rnacentral:rRNA from 1 species